AUUUUGUUUGUUCUUUUCUUUUAUGCAUCAUCAUGCAUUAUGCAUCAUAUCAUUCACAAGAUUUUUAUCAAAUAAAAUUAUUUUCGAAUAAAAACUAUUUCGGUUCCCUCCCAUAUGGUUUGUAUAUUAAACCAUCCCUUUAUCUUUUCCUUUACACAAACCCUAACACAAAAUUAUUUUAUUUUUGCUAUAAAACCUUUGGCUCUUAUUUUAUCUCUAUCUCUACCCUAUAUUCAAAACUCAACUUUUGUUGGUGCUGGUUCAAAACAAUUUGCUAAAAGAGGUUUCCUAAAAUAAACAAAAGAGAAAAAGGAUUUGCUAAAUAAAAAGAAAACCCUUCCCUCUCCCCUAGGCCUCUCUCUGGCCCAUCUCUCCCUCUCCAUCCAGCAACCCAUCUGCUUCCCUCUCCACCCAGUGGCCCAAGCCCACCUAGGCAUACCCCUUCGACCCCUUCCAUCGUUGUCUUCUUCACCUUUACAGGUCACCGAGCGCACGAGAGAAGGGUGAGCUCCUCCCCGCUGCCGUGGUCCUCCCCUCCACGUUCCACCACAACCACUCCCUCCACCUCUCUUUUAAUCCCCAUCCGAGCCACAGAAACCCUAGCAUAUUUCCUCCCUCGCGCCGCCACCGUUCUCCUCUUCAUCUCCCUCGAUUUUUCUUCUUCUCUGUGAACCACCGAACAACACCACCACCUCCCCACCAUGGCGCCACCGCUACCGACGCUCCCUCGCCGAGCUGAUACCACCAGAAGAACGGCAUCAUCGUCCUCGUCUUCCCCCUGCAAGGAAUCGAACCGGAGCCCUCUAAAUCUCCGGCGAAUUCGCCGAUUCCGUCUUCAAGUCCGGCGAGCAAAUCUUCAAUUCCGGCGACGCCGGUGACCCCUUGGUGUCGGCUCCGCUACCUCAUGUUUCCCCAAGUCAGGGCGCACCUUCGACGCCCUGUACUUCGUCCCGGUUCGCCCGGGAGCUCCAGGUCCGUGCUCGACCAGUGACGUCCGCCAUGGCUGCCUCCGUGAGCUCCGCCUCUACCUCCUUCAUGUUGCUGCGAGCCCUCCUCUUGACACGAUCCGACCAGUAGCAUACUGAUCUGGCGCUGAGAGUUGGUUUACCUUGCGCAUGAGAUCUUCCUAAUCGUCAAUAUCAUAUCCGCCGACGGGCCUUGAUCCGGUGUCUCGCCGACUGGGCCUCAGCCCACGUGCGCCCCAGCUUCUUCGUCGCCCAGCGUGCGAUGGGCCUCUAUCCGUUGCUCAGCAUUUGCUUCUUCUCGGAUAGGAUCGCGAAGUGGUGCGGUGAGAUACGACAAGUUCUCCGGAUGUUCCUCGGCAAGCUUUAACAGGCAAGCAUUUCCCCUAUACUUCUGCCCCUGCAGAAGUCGCUCACCUAUUUUAUUUUGCCUUCUCCCUCAUGCUAUCCUUAUGUUGCGUUCUUGUCACGUGUCCCUUCCACUUGUUACCUCAAGCAGCCUAUAUUGCCUCCACCAACCUCCUACAGUUGUUGUUUGGUUUCGGGUCUGCCUUGCGAGUCGUAGUGCAUGCUAGUGCAGUUAUAUCUCGUUACCGUUACCGCUAUCUUAUCGGUUAUCUGUUGGGAAACAUGACACAUGGUUUAUGGAUAUAUCUGUUGAGGGUAUCAUGGUUACUUGUUAAUAGUUGUUAGCGGAGGCAUCGGUGGGUCAGCUGAUCGUUUUGUGACGGCUCACUUGUGUUUCUUUAAAGCUUAGGACCCGAGUUCCUGUUAUCUGUUCCGAGACUGAGCGCUCUAACCACACGUGGGUAUGCUUCUGGGUCUCCCCUCGACCACUGCCGGAAUCUACAGCUUUGUCCAGUUGCCACAACUAGUUUGCAAUGUUUUACCAUUUGUUGUUGCGUGCAUGCCAGCCUGUUACUUAUUUAUUUUGGGAAGCCCCUGGGUGCCUUGUAUCCCUUGUUUCUGGUAUGCACGUAUAGGUCGCGGAGCCGCUGCGAAGUGGUUUAUCGCCCCAGUGUGUGUUUAAACCACCUAGUACGCUGUCGCAAACAGCUAGGUCCGCUUCGGAGAUACGGCCGGACUUCGAUUCGGGUUCAACUUGGUUAGGUGGCUUCCUGGACAUUGUUGUCGUGAAGGAGAGUGCGAGUCGUUAUAUCCACCUGUCGCAAGUGGGUUGAUCGUGCGUGUGGGCACAUUUGGGCACCCCUGCAGGGUUAAAUCUUAUCGAUAAGCCGCGUCCGCGGUUAUGGACGACUUGGAGCUGUAUGACUCGACCAUAGACAACUUACACCUGUUGUUUCAAUCAUAAUAACUUGUGUAGUAAGUUAGCACAACUCUAAUAAUAAAUGGUUAAAACUUGACAACCGUGUGAGUGCCUUUGUAAGUACUUCCUUGCG